rnacentral:sRNA from 1 species
AAUAAUCAAGAUGAAGA